rnacentral:lncRNA from 1 species
AGACAGGUGAGAUAAUGAUCAGUGAGUUCCUCUUGGAUCCAAAGAUCCUGUAUUCAACUUCUCAAAUGAGGUUCUCUCGGGUUUCAGUCAUGCUCUCAGGUACCACCCCUUUACUUUCGUUUUCUUAUAAAGAUUCUUGCUAGCUUUGGUUAGGUAUGUAGUGAUUAUCAAUUAGACUCAAGUAUUAGAGUUAGCUUAUCCUCAGCAGUCUUUAGUCUCGGUUCUGCAUAUACUAAGUAAGUGAUGUUGCAGUUUCUUAGUCUCAUCGCCUUUUUAUGCAUCUGCUGACCUCUUCCAUGGACCUCUUCUUUUAUUUCUCUGCUUUAUUCAGUCUAUGAAGAUGAAAGCAGCAGAUGAAGAAGUGCUUUAUUCAGUCUAUGAAGAUGAAAGCAGCAGAUGAAGAAGCUAAAGCUAGAUGAAGAAGGAUCAAAAAGCAGCAGAUGAAGAAGCAGAUGAAGAAGCUAAAGCUAGAUUUGGACACAUUGAUGGAGAUCAUCUAACGUUGUUGUUGAAUCGUCUACCACGCUUUUAAGCAAAAACAGUAAGUGAUCAUCUCUUUCUCUUCCUCUUUUGUCAAUUACAAUUUACGGUAACUAACUUGGUUAAUGUAAAAAUUCUCACAGAUGAAGAUCCCAAUUGGUGCCUCUGAAAAAUAUGCAGACAAUGUUAGACAGCAGCUCUUCCAGAUAGAUAACAACAACAAUGUGGUUCUCUGUUUUAAAAGUCUUCACUUUGCAAGUUGCUGAAAGCAGAGGUGUACACUGACUACAUUCA